UACGGGGGGUGCGAGCGUUGUCCGGAAUCACUGGGCGUAAAGGGCGCGUAGGUGGCUUUGUAAGUUUGGGGUGAAAGCCCGGGGCUCAACCCCGGGUCUGCCGUGGAUACUGCAAGGCUUGAGUACUGUAGAGGCAGGUAGAAUAUCGGGUGUAGCGGUGGAAUGCGUAGAGAUCCGAUAGAAGACCGGUGGCGAAGGCGGCCUGCUGGGCAGUAACUGACACUGAGGCGCGACAGCGUGGGGAGCAAACAGG
rnacentral:rRNA from 1 species